CAUUAAAUGGCUGAAAGUAAGCCCCGAUCUCUUAAAUCGGAUAAUAGCAAGUAACACCUGCUUUUAAUGU
rnacentral:tRNA from 1 species